rnacentral:lncRNA from 1 species
UCGGGAGACAGCCUCGCGAGAGGGCCUCGCAAGGCCCUUGGUAGCGCGUUCUGACGUGUGCCUUGCUCGCGAAGUCCAAUGGUGGGCCAUGCGCUGGGCCCAAGAUAUGUGCCGCGUAUUGGGCCGCAGGCAGAUGGGCCCAGCGCCGAGCAUGCGUGAACUACCCUACGGUCCCCUCACAGUUUUUUGAACCUGGUUAGAGAAGAUGCUGAGAUCUUGCUUUGUGUUAUGUACUGUCUUCCACCUAACCUCUGGAAAGAAAAACACCAUAGUAAUUGCUUAGGAAACCCCUUUACAGAGAACCCUAAUAAAGUAGCGUAGCUGCUCAGGGAAAUAUAAACUUGCAGGUUGAAUUUGGAAGAGUUGUUCCUAAAUCCCCACGGUGAAGUUCAAAACUUGCCUACAUCCCUGGGAGAAAGUGAUGAAUGGGAAGAAUAGUUGCGUACAAAACUAGGGAAAAAUUUCCUUCAUCUUGAAGUUCCUCCGCCAAUGUAAGUUAAAUGGACUAUAUACUGAAGUUUUGUUCGAAAAGCAAAAGGCAAAAUGGUGUAUGCUGUUAAAAAAUUGAGUGUACUGAACUUGAACAGAAAAAAAGAAGUUGCCUAUAUGAAUUCAGAGUAAUAGUUCCCUCAGCCAUUACCUUAACUAUGAUCCUACAAGAAAAAAAAUCAGAGACGUUUUUAACAGCAAACAUGAUAGAUCAACUUUUUGACUGAACUUUAACUGAAAAAUUAACAUCACUGUGCUGAGAAAAGAAAACAGCAGGGAUUUUCCUGAAAAAACACAUUGUCCUGCCUGGAGAAAAAAUAUCAUAUUGCCUAUAAAAAAUGGCAGGUUCUCUGUGUAUUAUCAUACACAAAACCUGAUUCGUGUCUGUUGCCUACCACCCAAAAAUCAAACGGCUAUGAGCUCUGCGCCUAACCCCCACCCUCGCCAUGACUACGCUUGUGCACCUUUAAAAAUCCCGUCCCUUGAUAAAAAACGACCGGUGCGAAUUUGUGCGCAGGAGGCAAGCCUACGACCUCUAUCAGUCGAUUGACUGCCUGGAUUUGUGUUUGACAGAAAAAAUCCUCCAAAAUCCGGCAACCCCUCGACCAUCUUCACCCCCUUCACUCUCCCCCUUUGACACCCCAUGGACGUCGACGACGCGUCGACGCAAAAUCUACCCGUGUUCGCCCUGAGAAAACCGAGACAAAAUAUGAGGCAUGGCUGCGGCGGUGACUCACCUUCUAACGGAGACGUUCGCCGCCACGCGCCACCGAGAGCUUCCCCUCCUAUUCCUCGCGUGCGUGGUCGCUCGGGUGGAAUGCUGGUGCUUCGGCUGUUGACACGCUGCCCCUCUGCGGAGGUCCGCGACGGUCCGCACUCCCGUUCCCCUUGGCCGUCGCGGCCCCCGACUGCCCGCCGGCGACGCUCGCAGCUAAAAACCUAGGGGAUUCCCUCCCCUUCGUCGCCGCGCGGAUUGAGAGGCGGAAAGGGAGAAGCUAGUGGACCGAGGGGAUCGG